UGGGGAAUAUUGCGCAAUGGGCGAAAGCCUGACGCAGCGACGCCGCGUGAGGGAUGAAGGUUUUCGGAUCGUAAACCUCUGUCAGAAGGGAAGAAACCGCACUGUGCUAAUCAGCAGUGCCUUGACGGUACCUUCAAAGGAAGCACCGGCUAACUCCGUGCCAGCAGCCGCGGUAAUACGGAGGGUGCAAGCGUUAAUCGGAAUUACUGGGCGUAAAGCGCACGUAGGCUGCUUUGUAAGUCAGGGGUGAAAUCCCACGGCUCAACCGUGGAACUGCCUUUGAUACUGCUUAGCUCGAAUCCGGGAGAGGGUGGCGGAAUUCCAGGUGUAGGAGUGAAAUCCGUAGAUAUCUGGAGGAACAUCAGUGGCGAAGGCGGCCACCUGGACCGGUAUUGACGCUGAGGUGCGAAAGCGUGGGGAGCAAACAGG
rnacentral:rRNA from 1 species